rnacentral:tRNA from 1 species
GGGGAACUAGCUCAGCUGGGAGAGCGCGUGACUGGCAGUCACGAGGUCAGGGGUUCGAGCCCCCUAUUCUCCACCA